AUAUGGAUUGUGUCAGCAGCCGCGCGGUAAUACGGGAGUGGCAAGCGUUAUCCGGAAUUAUUGGGCGUAAAGCGUCCGCAGGCGGCCCUUUCAAGUCUGCUGUUAAAAAGUGGAGCUUAACUCCAUCAUGGCAGUGGAAACUGUUGGGCUUGAGUGUGGUAGGGGCAGAGGGAAUUCCCGGUGUAGCGGUGAAAUGCGUAGAUAUCGGGAAGAACACCAGUGGCGAAGGCGCUCUGCUGGGCCAUCACUGACGCUCAUGGACGAAAGCCAGGGGAGCGAAAGGGAUUAGAUACCCCUGUAGUCCUGGCCGUAAACGAUGAACACUAGGUGUCGGGGGAAUCGACCCCCUCGGUGUCGUAGCCAACGCGUUAAGUGUUCCGCCUGGGGAGUACGCACGCAAGUGUGAAACUCAAAGGAAUUGACGGGGGCCCGCACAAGCGGUGGAGUAUGUGGUUUAAUUCGAUGCAACGCGAAGAACCUUACCAGGGUUUGACAUCCUGCGAAUCUCUUGGAAACAGGAGAGUGCCUUCGGGAACGCAGUGACAGGUGGUGCAUGGCUGUCGUCAGCUCGUGUCGUGAGAUGUUGGGUUAAGUCCCGCAACGAGCGCAACCCACGUCUUUAGUUGCCAGCAUUUAGUUGGGCACUCUAGAGAGACUGCCGGUGAUAAACCGGAGGAAGGUGUGGAUGACGUCAAGUCAUCAUGCCCCUUACAUCCUGGGCUACACACGUACUACAAUGCUACGGACAAAGGGCAGCAAGUUCGCGAGGACAAGCAAAUCCCAUAAACCGUGGCUCAGUUCAGAUCGUAGGCUGCAACUCGCCUACGUGAAGGCGGAAUCGCUAGUAAUCGCAGGUCAGCAUACUGCGGUGAAUACGUUCCCGGGCCUUGCACACACCGCCCGUCA
rnacentral:rRNA from 1 species